rnacentral:rRNA from 1 species
CGGCGAGUGAAGCGGCAAAAGCUCAAAUUUGAAAUCCCCCGGGAAUUGUAAUUUGAAGAGAUUUGGGUCCGGCCGGCGGGGGUUAAGUCCACUGGAAAGUGGCGCCACAGAGGGUGACAGCCCCGUGAACCCCUUUAACGCCCUCAUCCCAGAUCUCCAAGAGUCGAGUUGUUUGGGAAUGCAGCUCUAAGUGGGUGGUAAAUUCCAUCUAAAGCUAAAUACCGGCGAGAGACCGAUAGCGAACAAGUACAGUGAUGGAAAGAUGAAAAGCACUUUGAAAAGAGAGUGAAAAAGUACGUGAAAUUGUUGAAAGGGAAGGGCUUGCAAGCAGACACUUAACUGGGCCAGCAUCGGGGCGGCGGGGAGCAAAACCACCGGGGAAUGUACCUUUCGAGGAUUAUAACCCCGGUCCUUACUCCCAUACCACCCCGAGGCCUGCAAUCUAAGGAUGCUGGCGUAAUGGUUGCAAGUCGCCCGUCU